UGUGGCCACAGUGUGUGCUUUUGUGGUGUUUGGUUUUCCACUGAGCUGAAAAGCCCGAUGCGGCGAGGCUCAGAAUAGAUUUUUAUUGAUCCGUGAUGGAGGGCUUAGGGAAUGUGCAAUGGAAAAAGAGAGGGGAAAAAAUGGCGGAUUGGGAAGUUGUAUAAAGGAGAAGCUCCAAUAAUUGAGCCCUGUGUUGGAUUUCUUGAGUUAAUGAGAGUCAACCAUCACCGGAGGGAUGAUUACCUUCCACAUUACAUCUCAUCGCUCCUUCUGCACGUAAAUAUGUGCAGCAAACACGGUUUGUGUGGCUCGUCUCUUUGCCUCGUGGCCCCAUCACGGUUACCAUGGGAACAGCGUUUAGGGGUGACAUCACUGCAGCAGUGUGGCAUCAUCACUGAGAUGACUCAUGCUUGUUUUUUUUUUUUUUUUGUUGUUUUUUUAAGCCGGCUAAUAGCUUUUUAGAAAGAGUGUAGAGGGACGGGAGAAGACAUGCUGUAAAGGUACCGAGGUCGGGAGUCGAACCCGUCCGGGACAGCCGCGAUGGAGACUAAGGCCUCCGCAAACGGGGCGCUACGCCACGCUACGCCACGCGACGCAACGCCGCGGUGACUCGUGCUAGCUCUGGGUCGGUUUUUGUGCGCGUGCCUCGGAGCGGUUUCCGACGCACCGACACUCAACGAGAGGAAAACACACGUAACUCUUGACAUUUAUGUUUUAUUCUAUGUAACAAAAAUAAUUACAAUGUUUUUUUUGUUGUUGUUGUUCUAGGACUCUAAUAAGAUUUCAAAAUAAAAGUAAAAAGGACACACAGACAGAUUUACAUAAACAUCAUAGAGAGAAGUCGAAGAGUAUAGUUAUAUUGAACAACAGAGCGGACAUGAUUCCCUGUUAAGAAGAAAAGUU